rnacentral:rRNA from 1 species
CCCUUAGAUGUUCUGGGCGGCCCGCGCACUACAUUGGCACUAGCAAAGGGAUCCUAGAUUGAAUUCUUUGGGGUAUUCUUCUAAAUGGUGUCGUGACUGGGAUAAAUCCUUGUAAUUAUUGGUUUUGAACGAGGAAUUCCUUGUAAUCGCGGUUUAUCAGCUCGCGUUGAAUGCGUCCCUGCCCUUUGUACACACCGCCCGUCGCUCCUACCGAUGGAUCGUCCGGUGAAGCUCACGGAGUGACUGUUCACGCAACGGUUUACGAAGUGAAAUGGACCUCACGAUUUAGAGGAAGGAGAAGUCGUAACA